GUUUAUAGCCAUACCACAGGAAUGCACCCAAUCUCAUCCCAUCUGGGAAGCUAAGCAGGGUAGAGCCUGGAUAGUAUUUGUAUAGGAUGAAAUAAAGA
ensembl:rRNA 5S_rRNA 5S ribosomal RNA